UCUGGUUGAUCCUACCAGUCGUCAUAUGCUUGUUUCAAGGAUUAAGCCAUGCAUGUCUCAGAGUAAACGGAUUCACAGUAAGUCUGCGAAUGGCUCAUUACAUCAGCACGAAUCUAUCCGAGAAAGUAGGAGAGUUCUCCUGCCAAACGGAUAACUGCUGUAACCCGGUAGCUAAUACGUGUACGGCAAUCCUAACCCCUAACACAGCGCCGAGGGGAAACUUGAGGCGUGGGGGGACGGAGCAGUUGGCCGCUAUAAAAACUAGCGCUCGUGAGAGCAGUCUCUAUUGAUGACCCAGGCCAACCCAUGCGAUAGCACAUCAACUUCGAGUUGGUGCUCGUUCGGACGACGUUCUGCCCUAUCAGCUUCGAUGGCUGUGUAGUGGACAACCAUGGCUGUAACAGGUAACGGAGAAUCAGGGUUCGAUUCCGGAGAGGGAGCCUGAGAAACGGCUACCACGAUUAAGAUCGGCAGCAGGCGCGCAAAUUGCCCAAUACCAAUACCGGUGAGGCAGCGACGAAAAAUAACAACUCUGCAUGACAAAUGUUGUGUGGAGAUUGUAAUGGAUGAUACCCAAACCCAUCAGUGAGUAUCCGUUGGAGGGCAAGUCUGGUGCCAGCAGCCGCGGUAAUUCCAGCUCCAAUAGCGUAUACUAAUGUUGCUGCUGUUAAAACGCUCGUAGUGGACUCAGAGAUGGAGGUUGCAGUGAGGCCCUCUGCGGCUGGAGCUGUUGCGCCCCCGGGUGUGACGAUCCAACCGCAUUGCGGAACAAACCUACUGCGUUCGACCUUCACUCUUCACACGCGGAACCAUUGGGGCUGUGGAAACCUCCUUGAUUGGUGGUAGAAGCGCUUCCGCAUUCAACACAUGCAUAUGCCCCUGUCCGUGGAGGUUACUGUGAACAAAACAGCGUGUCCAAAGCAACCACAUGUCUGGCUGAAUGAUCUAGCAUGGAAUAACAAGGCAUCGGCCACUGGAGUCAGCCUUUUUGUUGGUUUUACAUGACCCAGUUGGGCAAUGCAGGGCUUGUGCUUCAUUGAGGUUCUUAGUCAGCUCUACCGAACUGUCUUCCCUCAGUUGGACCUUGUUCCCUAUCGGGAUCAAUGGAAGCCAUCGGGGUGGUAUGUAUUCCGACGUGAGCGGUGAAAUGCUUAGACCGUUGGAAGACAAACGGCAGCGAAGGCAUUCCGCCAGAAUGUUUUCAUUAAUCAAGAACGAGAGUGUGGGGAUCGAAGAUGAUCAGAUACCAUCGUAGUCCAUUACCGUAAACUAUGCCAACUCGGCAUUGGGAGUCUGUUCACUUUGAAGACUCUCCCAGCAUCAUCCCCCAAUAACGAGAAAUCCAAGUCUAUGGGUUCAGGGGGGAGUACAGUCGCAAGGCUGAAACUUAAAGGAAUUGACGGAAUGACACCACAAGGCGUGGAGUAUGCGGCUUAAUUUGACACAACACGGGGAAGCUUACCAGGUCAGACACAGUAAG
rnacentral:rRNA from 1 species